CAGUUCGGAUUGUAGUCUGCAACCCGACUACAUGAAGCCGGAAUCGCUAGUAAUCGCGGAUCAGAAUGCCGCGGUGAAUACGUUCCCGGGUCUUGUACACACCGCCCGUCACACCAUGGGAGUUGGAAAUGCCCGAAGUCAGUGGCCCAACCGGAAGGGGGGAGCUGCCGAAGGCAGGUUCGAUGACUGGGGUGAAGUCGUAACAAGGUACC
rnacentral:rRNA from 1 species